rnacentral:rRNA from 1 species
GACGAACGCUGGCGGCGUGCCUAAUACAUGCAAGUCGAGCGGACCAAAGGGAGCUUGCUCCUGGAGGUUAGCGGCGAACGGGUGAGUAACACGUGGGCAACCUGCCUGUAAGACUGGGAUAACAUCGAGAAAUCGGUGCUAAUACCGGAUAAUAAAAAGAACUGCAUGGUUCUUUUUUGAAAGAUGGUUUCGGCUAUCACUUACAGAUGGGCCGCGGCGCAUUAGCUAGUUGGUGAGGUAACGGCUCACCAAGGCGACGAUGCGUAGCCGACCUGAGAGGGUGAUCGGCCACACUGGGACUGAGACACGGCCCAGACUCCUACGGGAGGCAGCAGUAGGGAAUCUUCCGCAAAUGGACGAAAGUCUGACGGAGCAACGCCGCGUGAGUGAUGAAGGUUUUCGGAUACGUAAAACUCUGUUGUUAGGGAAGAACAAGUGCCGUUACGAAAGGGCGGCUACCUUGACGGUAACCUAACGAAGAAAGACCACGG